rnacentral:rRNA from 1 species
AGUGAACGCUGGCGGCGUGCUUAACACAUGCAAGUCGAACGAGAACGGGUUAUAGCUUGCUAUAAUUGUCAGCUAAGUGGCGCACGGGUGAGUAAUGUAUAGGUAAUAUGCCUCUUACUAAGGGAUAACAAAUGGAAACGUUUGCUAAUACCUUAUACUCCUUAUUAACAGAAGUUAAUAAGGGAAAGAUUUAUUGGUAAGAGAUUAGCCUGUAUUGUAUCAGUUAGUUGGUGGGGUAAUGGCUUACCAAGACUAUGACACAUAAAAGGUUUGGGAGGAUGAUCAGUCACAGUGGAACUGAGACACGGUCCACACGCCUACGGGAGGCGGCAGUUGGGAAGAUUGCACAAUGCACGAAAGUCUGAUGCAGCAACGCCGCGGGGAGGAUGACACAUUUCGGUGCUUAAACUCCUUUUAUAUGAGAAGAUAAUGACGGUAUUAUAUGAAUAAGCACCGGCUAACUCCGUGCCAGCAGCCGCCGUAAGAC